CGCCUUGCCAGCCCGCUCAGAAACUUAAAGGAAUUGACGGGGCCCGCACAAGCGGAGGAGCAUGUGGUUUAAUUCGAUGAUACGCGAGGAACCUUACCUGGGCUCGAACGUAAGAUGACUGUAGGUGAAAGCUUACAUCUCUUCGGAGCAUUUUACGAGGUGCUGCAUGGUUGUCGUCAGCUCGUGCCGUGAGGUGUCGGGUUAAGUCCCAUAACGAGCGCAACCCCUACCUUUAGUUGCCAUCAGGUUAAGCUGGGGACUCUAAAGGAACUGCCUACGCAAGUAGUGAGGAAGGCGGGGAUGACGUCAAAUCAGCACGGCCCUUACGUCCAGGGCUACACACGUGCUACAAUGGCCGAUACAGAGGGCAGCUACCUGGUGACAGGAUGCAAAUCUCCAAAGUCGGUCUCAGUUCGGAUCGGAGUCUGCAACCCGACUCCGUGAAGUUGGAUUCGCUGGUAAUCGCGCAUCAGCCAUGGCGCGGUGAAUACGUUCCCGGGCCUU
rnacentral:rRNA from 1 species